AGGCGCUCUCCUUCACUACUGCUGUUUGUGUCCAUCGCGCGCACCCUUUCUCUUGACUUUAAACUUUUGCAGCAUUAUAUGAUUAUUAUACUAUUAUAUGAUAACAGUAUAUAAACAGUUUUAGGUUUACCAACACCUUAGACAAGUCUGUUUAAGGAUUUUUCUUGUCGGAAUCACAGGGGUCGGCUCAGCAGUGAUACAUGAGGGGAGUGUAGAUAAACUUUAAGGCUGUGGUGGAGUGACGUCGCAGAGAGAAGCUGGUCCUGAUUGGCUAAGAUGCAGCUGCCUCAGUUUCCUACCUCCAGUAGCUCCGCCCACUUGUGGUUGCUGAUUAUGGCCCUAAUACCCACACAAUCAGUUAUAGGGGGACAGGAGGGGCCCUGCGGUGGGAGGGACUGCUCCAUCUGCACGUGUUCUCCUGCCGAAGGUGCAAGGGGUAUCCCAGGCCCUCUGGGGGGCCCGGGUCCCCUGGGGCCUGUGGGGUUUCCCGGGCCUCAGGGGCCCCCAGGAGAGAAGGGCCAGCGAGGGGACGAGGCCCUGCCCAGCCCAGCAGGUCUUAAGGGAGACGUGG